rnacentral:lncRNA from 1 species
CAAUUUCACCUAUUUCUAUCCGUUGUGAUAGUGAGGCUACUCUAGCAAAGGCAUAUAGCCAAGUAUAUAAUGGAAAGUCUAGACACAUUGGAUUAAGACAUAGUUAUGUCCGACAAUUAAUCUCUGAUGGAGUGAUCACUAUUAAUUAUGUGAGGUCAAGUGAAAAUUUGGCAGAUCCUUUGACAAAAAGUCUUGCUAGAGAUGCAGUAAAAAGGACCUCAAAAGGGAUGGGACUCAAGCCUAUUAAUUAGAGUCACCCAUGAUGGAAACUCGACUCAACACUUGGUAUAACGUCAAGUCUUGAGUUCAAUGAGACAAAGUACAUCAUUAGUAUGUGACUGUUAGCACUAUAAAUAAAUCCAUCAUAAGAUUAAAGUGCUAGGUACCCGUAAUGAUAAGGGAAGGAUGAGUAAUGUACUCUUAAUGGACCCAUAACAUAAAUAUGUUAGAGUGUUAUAAUUACGGGAACACUUUUGAUGGGAUCUACUUAUGUGAGUGGAAGUGUGGUCGCUUCUAGGAGCUUAAGGGCUUGGCUCUGACGGCACUCAUGAAAAGAGGACAUAGACACAUGGCUAUAAUAGUGUCCCUAGAUACUAUGCAUUGACUGAUGUUGAAAUCAUUGUGUGAGAUGUGUUCAGUUAAUCAAAUGGAAUAGUUGGUUCAAAGCUUAGUCUACCAUACAAUUUCGAUUAACUUUAACAUGUUUUCACUAAGUGAAGGUUCAAUCGUAAGACACCUUUAUUUAUGCAAAUUGAUUUCCAAGAAUAUCAAAAUCUAAAUAUUUUGAAAAUGGGGGGAGAUUGUUAGAAUAUUUUCAAAUAUUUAUAGUAUCCCAAUAACUAUAAAUGAAUGGGUGUAAUUAAUCAAAAGAUAAAACUUUUGGUCAUUGGUCAAAAGUUAUAUCAUUUGAUUUUUUAAAAAAGAAUUAUAACUAUUCAAAAAAUAUUAUUUGAAUAGUUACAAAAUUAAAUGAAUAAUUAUUAUUAUUUAUUUAUUCAUAAAGACACCUAUUGAAAGAUGUCUCUAUGAAGAGACAUGAAAAUUCCUAUAAAUAGGAAUGGGAUUUCAUUUGGAAAUCAUAUAAACAAAUUCUAAUAUUAUUUCUUCUCUUCCUUCAUUUUCUAAUAUUAUUAGAUUAUUCUAUAAAGUAUUGCUGCAGAAAUCCUUUGUAGAAAUUGAGUUUUUGUUAUACAUUACUCAGUGCAUAGUGGACUAUUCUCGUCAGUGCAAAACGCAAAUAGUCAUUGGCUUCAUUGUAUCCUCGAGGUUAAUUUGCUUGGAACUCGUUUGCACACUAAAGAUAAGUGGGGGCGAAUAUAACCUUAAAGAUAGUGGCUUGAUACACGCCUUGGAGCCUGUCCUAUUUCUUCUUUUUCUUUUCGAGUUCUGAUCGUGUGUUCGAGUUUUUUCCUUACCGGAGUUUUGUACUAACAUAAUCCAAGUAAACUGAAUUUAUAAUUUUAUGCAUAGUGUAAGGUUGAUAGUAGAAUUUAACUGAACAUAUUUAAGUGCUACUAUUUGGAUCAGUAAUUAAAUUUCAAAUUAUAAAAAAUAUAAAAAUUAAAAUUGACCAAUUUAAAGUAUAAGUACCAAAAUUUGUAUAAGUCUUAUGCAUACUUUGUUAUUAUUCCCUUUCUUUUUUCCAAUCCAUGCUUUGAAUUUAUCGUUGUUGUCUUUAUUUUAUCUCUUUGUCAAAGAUAGAACAGAGGAAUUUCUAUUCUUCUAUUUGAGUCCAUAUAUAAAUCCACAACACUACAUUGUGUUCGAUAAAUUUUGAGUUUGUAUCUAGGUAUUAAAUCGAAAUUUUAAUCAUUAUUCUAAAUAAAUCUUGAUAGAAAAUAAAAAUAUUUUAGUGCAAAAUAAUUGACAACUGAAACUUAAUGAAACUAAAUUCUACGGGUUUAUAUUGAUCUAGUUCAUCGGUUUUUAUUUUUAUUUUUGAAUGGGAGACUAAAAUAAAAACUUACUAAUAAUUGGUUAAUCAACGGUUUUGAGAAAAAGUGACUUAACAACCCACCUUAAUGUUCGUAAGCAAGUUAUGGAGGAGUGGCUUAAAUGGUCAAUUUUGAAUAGUUAAACGAUUGGAUUGUAAUUUUUUACAAUUAAGUGACCAAAAUAUAAAUUUAUUAGUAAUUGAGUAACCACGAGAUUAAUUUAUCCAAAAUAUUAGGAAUCGUCCCUUUGGUAAGGAAAAAUAUCAUUUUUAAAAAUUUUAACCUUGAUAAUAAAAUUAAAAAAAAUGCCAUAUCAAAUAAUAAUUUCUAUUUUUUUAAUUGUAAAAACAAAAUUCCUCCCAUUAUCGUUUCCAUGUUUUCCUUCUUAAUCUUCAAUAAUUCAAAGUGGAGGUAGGCCCGACCAUUAUGGAAUUUUAGUCAAAAUUUUCCCAUUUUAAUUAUUAUUAACAAUUUAAAAUUUAAUUUAAUUAUAAAACAUAUAAAUAAUUUUUAAUAAAUUAUAAAAAUAUUUUUAUUUUUUUUAAAAUCAAAUAUAAUUAUUUUUAAUAAGGUUUUCAUUCAUAUAAUGAAAUAUUAAAUCAGGUGAUACCAAAUUUUUAUGUGGUUUAUAAAUUUGUAAAUUUUAUUAUUUGUUUUUUUUUAAUAAUAAGUUUUAAACACCUUAGCUCAUAAAAAGCUUGACAUUUUUUUUUAAUUGUACUUCAAAUAAAUAUAUUACGAAUGUUAGUGUAAAUGAACUAUUAAUGAAAAUUAUGGCCAACUUCGUAGGUUGUUUAAUUCAAAAGCACCUACUUAAAUUAAUUGAAUUAAAUGAAGCAAAAUUCAAAUAAAAUUAAUAUUUAUGGUUUUAAAAAUAUUAUUUAUUGUUUAAUAGAGUUAAUAUUUUUAAAUUUUUAUGGUUCUGUAAAUAAAAUAUUUUGCUUGAAAUUCAAAGAAAUAUUUUUUAUACAGUAAAUGUUACAAUUUAGACCUAUUCAGUUCUUUUUAGUAGUAUACAAAUUAAAUUAAUUUAUUUAAUAAUAGAGGGAUUAAUUUGAUUGGAUUCCUCUAAUACCAAGACUUUCCAACUUCUUUAACCAAUUCAAAAGUGUGAGGAUGAUUUUAAAAAAUAUAUAUUUUAGUAUUGGGGCGAAAUAAAAUUAUAAAAUUUUAUAUUAAAUAAUUCAUAAUUAGUAAAGAUUUAAAUACAUAUUAUUUCACUUAGUAAAGAUUAAAGUAUUUUUUAUAGAUUUAAUUGGUUAAAUUUAUUUAUUUUAUUACGAAAAUUUAUUAUAAAUAUUUCAAUAAUAUUUUAUAAAUUUAUAAAAUUAUAAUCCGACUCGACUAAGAAGGUUUGAGCAAUAUUGAUUACUCAUUUAUUAUAGUUGUUUAUUUUUUCUAUAAAUAUAAAUAUAAUUUAUUUUUGGCCCAAUAAUUGAACCUGCAAACCAUACCGGCACGUAAUUUAAUAUCUUAGCUAAGAAAUACCAAACAUACACGUAAAUGUUCAUAAGACAACAACAAAUAUUGCUGCCUUUAUUCAUAAUAUUCAUUUUUGUUUAAUUAUGCACCAAAAAAGAAUUAUUCAAUUAAGUUGUCUGAACGAAAUUUAUUUUCUAAAUUGGGGAAUUAAAAUUUGCUUGAAUUAAAUUAUUAUUUUUUGGAAAUAUUUUUUUUAUUUAUUUAAAGAUUAAAAAAAACUUAAAUUAAAUAUUUUAAUUUUGGGAAGAGUAAUUUAUCCAUUUAACUAAAGAGGCUCCUGCGUAGUACUUUGAUAUGCCCGGGUUUCUAAAUAAACAACUAUUCUAUAAAAGUAUUAUGAAAGCCUCUUGUAUUAAGAGUGAAAUUACAUUUUGUCUCAUUUACUCAAAAUAUUUAUAAAUUACUCCAUGUAUGAUAAAUCAACGAGCAAAAUAGUAUUUUCUGCUAAAUUUUUUAAAAACUGGCAUGUCAGAUGAGAUAACUAGAAUGACACGUGACACGUUAUGUGCACCUUAUGCUAAUGUACAAAUAUCAGUUUUGAUAAUUUUUUUAACUGAAAGAUUAAUUUAAUUUUGGAUCUAACUUACCCUAUUUCUUAAAUAAAAUACAUAAAUUAAAAAUAAAUAAAUUCAACCAAUUGAAUCGAAAAAAAAUCAACUUGAGUUGACUUAUUUGAUAUUUUUUAUAUUGAUGAUAAAGGUUCUGAACUUCACAAGAAGUUGACUGCCCAUCUUUUUAAUAUAUUAUAAAAUACGCACAAUUUUCAUAUUUAAAAAUAAUUUAAUUUUUAAAUCAAUAAUAAUACACUAAUAGAAUUAAGGUCUAAUUUUGCCCCAUGUCCUUGUAUUCUUCCUAUUUUCAAAAUUUAAUUCAUUUGCUUUUAAAAUUCAAGAAUGUUGUCCCUCUAUUUGUAUGAUUUAAAAAUUAAAGUUUAACUGAUAACCUUGUUAAUUAACUUAUGUUUAAUAUGAAUAUAUACUAUCAAAUAAAUUUUAAUUUUUAAAUUAAAACUUUAAAUAUUAAAAUGUCACAUAUUUAAAUUUAACGAAUGUUCCUAAAUUGUGUUAUCAAUGUUAUGAGUUGUAUUUUAAUUUUUAUAUCAAGCAAGUAGAGAGACACAAUUCUUAGAAUUAAAAGCACAGGGACUGUUUUUUAAAAUCCAAAGAGUGCAAGGAUUGGUGGCAAAAUUAAACCUAGAAUCAAUGAAGUAUAUAUACAUUUUAUUUGGUUAAAAGAUGCCAUAGGUUCAUGUACUCUUCGAAAAUUUGAAAUUUGGUCUUUAUACUUUUAUUUCUUGAAAUUUAGUUCCUCUAUUUUUCAAUUUUUUAAAUUUAAGUCAAUUUAUAAACUUUUUUUUAUUAAUUUUGUUGGUGUAACAUUGUGAAAUAAUAAAAAACUAAAUUGAUAGCAAUAUAACUAAAAAAUGACAUAGUAAUUAACUUGAACUUAACAAAAUAAUUUUAACAGUGUUAAUAGUUGAAUCUAAAUUUUGAAAUUUAAAAAAUAGAAUGACUAAAUUCCCAGAAAUAUAAAUAUAAGUACCCAACUUCACAUUUUUAAAAAAUAAAGAAACUUAUGACAUAAUUUAACCCUUUUUUUAUUUCAGAAGAAUUUGCAAAUACAUAUUCGAUCAAUUAAAAUUAAAAUAAGAAUCAAUUAAAUAUAAAAACGUAAUGAACUGAAGAUUGAAAUAUAUUCAAAUCGAAAUCAAUAUACAUUCAUAUAGAGUCCACACGAUAAAACUUAAAUCUAGAAUGAAUUUUGGACUUGAACAAAGGCGAAGACAACGGAAGUAGGCAGUAACCAUGGCCCCAGCGUGGUAAAAUUAUCCUUUAACUCCUUUAAAUUUAUCGUAAUUAUAUAAUUAUAGUAUUCUACUCUGGCCCGCCCCCCGAAAUUUUAAUUUUCAUUCCCCUUGAACAAUAUUCUAAAAUCACGAUUAAUAAAUGCGCACGUGGCAUAGUAUUAUUUGAUUUAUUUGCAUAUGACAAAAUAUGACUCCAUCUUGGAAGUAUCAAUAACAUACAAAUAGGCUUAAUUUACUAUUUAGUCCUGAAUUAUAUCUAUUUUCUCACCUUUGUAUUUUUUUUGUACUUAAAAUAUCAAUUUCCCCUAUUUUUGGUUUACUUUGUAACUUUGAUUAGAAAAGCCUUUUAGAUCACUUUGGUCAAUGAAAAAAUGCCACGAGCAUUGACCUACCGCAUGAUGCCGUUAGAAUACGGCACAUGUUCUUUUUUAUUAUUUUAAUAUUAUAUAUUUUUUAUUUAUUAAAAAUAUAAAAAAAUCAUACAUAAUGUAUAAAAAGGUUUAAAAUAUUUUUUUAUAAAAUUUUAAAAUCUUUAACUAUAAAGUUUAAGAAUUAAAAAUAAUAUAUAAAAAUGACAAUUGUUAUAAAAAUAAAAAAAGUUUAAAUUUCGAGUAAUUGCAAAAAUACAUUGAAAUUUAAAUACCUUUUCAGAAUUUUAUAUAAAAAUAUUCUUAAUUUGUUUAAUAAUAUCAUCAAUUUAAACAAAAUUUAUUUUAAAUAAUUGUAGUUUUUUAAUUAAUUUAUUUUUUCUAGAUUUUAUGUAUAAUUUUUAUUUAUUUUCAUUUUAUAUUUUUUAAUAUGUAUAUAUAUUUAAUAAAACAAAAUAUUUAUUUUUUACAUAAAAUCACCAUGUGGUAUUUUGUGUUCGAUUAUCAAUUUGUUUAACGUCUAUAAAAAAUAAACUUAAAAAAUAUAAUAGAAACAUACUUUAAAAACCAAAAUAGGAUAAAAAAAAUUAAAUAUCAAUAUAAAAAGAUAGUGAAUUACAUAGAGCAAAGUGGACGGUCCAUUUAAAAUAUUAUUUUAUUUUAAGAUAUUUACUAUUUUAUGUCUCGUUAAUAAUUAGUAUUUCCUUUUUCAAUUUCUCGUAAAUAUCGAUAUGUGGAGUGUCUGUUAUUGAUGCAUGUUCACAUUGUAGGGGACAUUUUUCUUUUUAAUUUAUUAUUUAAUAUUGUUUUGGGUUUUAUCAAAAAAAAAAAAAGAGGCAUUGUCGUAAGUAUUUUAUAUUUGAUUAUUUAAACCAACAGUUUACAAAUAUUAAUAUUAGAUCAUGAUGUAAUCACAAAAUAGUGUAAUAGAAUAAUGUUGUUUUACAAGUGAAACCAAUUGUACCUUUCUUUUUCAAAAUUAUUGUUUAAGAUUGGUCGAGCUAGUUCGAUAAAAUAAAAUAAAAUUCUCAUAAAAUUAUUUAAAAAUUCGGUUUAAUCGAUAUGUACUGUUUAUGGUUCAACCAGUACGAUGUCUUUUUAUGGACCGAUAAAAAAUAUUAUAUUUUUUUUAAAAAUUAUAUUUGUCAUGAGAUGUAUUAAUAGGCCAUCGCAUGGUGUCAUUGGAUUGGUUAACAGUCCCACAUCAGUACAAAUUAAUAAUACCAGUACGGAAAUAUUAACUUAAUUGAGGGAAUAUAAAUUUAGGGACCAACUAGAUACAAAUAAACAAGUUUAAGUGCAAAAUAUAAAUUAACCCAUUGUAUAACAUAAACACAAUUAUUUGGUUUGUUGCACUAACAUAAAGUUUGAGGACCCGGUGAAGCCCUCAUUGAUAUUGGAACCAUGGAUGGGGAUAUAAUCACACUAUACAUUAGUUGGAUAAAAUAAUUGUAGGGAAAAGUGGAAGGUGCAUUUAAUCUAUUAAUUUAUUUUUAGGAUCUUGACUGGUUUUGUAAUUAAAAUAAAUUUUCUCUAGAAUAUUGAUGGUAGAGUGUUUUUUUGUUAAUAAAUGUUCACGUGGUGCAUGGCGGUGCUAACCUUUUUUUUAAAGUUGUUUAGCUAAUCUUCAUGGGGAUUUGAUUAUAUUUAAAUUAAGAGUUUUAAUAUAUUAUGGUAGGAUCUAAUUAAUUAUUUAAUUAAUGUUAACCGUUAAUAUUUAUGAUGUGACUGUUAACGAUGCUAAUUUAAACAAACGUCCCAUGUCAAUAAAAAUAAAUUAUUUUAACUUGAUAAAAAAAUAUGGGAUAUUUUCUCUAAUUACCCUUUAUUUCUCACACGUUUUGAUGUUAAUACGAAAUAAAACUUUUAAUUAACUUAUAAAUUAAGACAAAAAAUGGAGAGAGAUGCUACAAAACAAAAGUUGGUUGUUUGGUCAUUUCCGCCACCUAAAAGAAGAAGAAAAAGGCAUAUAUGUUAAAGCAUGUGAUUUAAAUUUUCAAUGAUUGUUAAUUAAUAUAGUUAAUUAUUGUAUUAAAAGUGAAUAACCUUUUAGAAAUCAGAGUCUUAAUCAAAUCAUUAUUUUAUUGGGUGUCUUUAUUUAUAUAAUACAAUUUCAACACACGCUUUAUCACAUAAAUAAAUUUGCAAAUCUAAUCUUGAUAUUCUAUUUCGACUAAUGACCUUACUAUUGGACUUCAUCUUUUUUAUAUUUGAUUCAUGGGAAAUCUGUUGAUAUCUGUUUUUUUAUACCAUGUUUAGAACUAUGCAUAACUUCUCUCCAACCCAUGAAUAGGAGAAUAAUGCGCUUCAGUACACUUGAAUCCAUAUCCUCCUGCAUUGACAACAAUACCCAUGUCAAUUAAGUUCAUGAUUUAUACAUACAAAGAUGGCUCAAUUAUGAAAUGAGCUCACCGGCUAAUCAGCACAAAAUUAAAAGUCAAAAUAAAACAAACAAAUAGGGCCACAAGCUAAUUAGCCCAAAAUCAGUACAUAUUUAUUUAACGAUUUAUUAUCGAUGUGUCAAUCGUACAAGAUGAUUAAUUGAGAUUAUUCGGAUUAAUUAUAAAUUUUGAAAAUAAUGAAUAACUUCUUCUAGUAUUGUAGAGUUGUUUGUACUAACAGUCGUAUUACAUUUUGUUCUCUCUACUAAAAUUAGAAAUGAGCAUAACAUAUGUUACAAUUGCCACCAUUGUCGAAAAAAUUACCAACCAAACAAAAUUGGGUUUUCUUUUUUUCAACAAAAGAUCAAGCAACCCGGUUUCUUUUAUGACAACCUUUGCCAUUUGAUUUCAAAGCUCCACCACAUGAAGAAGAACCAUGAUCAUCACCAUCAUCAUCAUCCCCAUUAGACGAUACAUCAAUGGAUGAUUUGAUGAAUGAACUUGAAAUAUCAUUGUAAAGACCAACCACUCUUUUAAUGUUGUUGUUGACCUCCCUAAUUAGCCCAACAUUCCUGGUCAAGUUAUGAGGGACCUUGGACUCAUGGUUUAUGUUUAUCUCAUUGAUGAGCAGCCUGUUCUGGUCCAAUAUGGUCUGGACCUGAACCAAACCCUUUUGUAAUGUUUGCACCACUUUGGGGUCCAUUUGAUCACUACCAUCGCCAAGCCUUGAGAAUGUCUCGCCCUCCAUUGUGUGUGAAUUUGAUGCACUAGGAGCUCUCUAUCUCAAAACUAGACCUGAAUGAACAAGAAGAAUCAUAUGAGUGAAAAGCUUAGGAACCAAAAUUAAAUUAUAUAAAAUUAAAAAAAAAAGUCUAAAGUACAAUUUUAUCUUUAUAUAUAUAAUUGUCGUUUUAAAAUUUUAAAAAUAAAAUAAAAUAAUUUUUUUUAUCUUUAAGGUCAAAAUGUAUUUUUACCGUUAAACUAAUUUAUAAAUUUAAAAACUUCAAAAAACUAAAAUAAUAAUUUGUCAUUUUAAGAGCCCAAGGCCCUUCCUUGCUCCAUUAGUGCCGUCUUCGGCCAUCCAUUAGGGGUGAGAAAAAGUAUUUAGUUAAUCGAUUACGAUGAUUAAUGGUCAGUUUAGCAUUGUUUCUAAAGAAUAUUUUUAGGACAAAAAACACUUUUAAGAUAAAUGCAUUGCUAAACAAUAUGUUUUUGAGCAUUUCAAAAUUAUUUUUGGGACAAAAAAUAUUUUACAAAAUUACUUUUUUUAACCCAUAGCAGUUUUGCUUAAAAUUACUUUUUGAUCCAGUUUUGAGAAGUAAUACUAAAUUAAGUCUAAGUCAAUUCUAUAAGAGGUAAAGUAAGAUAAGUUGAUUGGUUUAAUAACCAAAACUCAAAUAAACUUCUAGAUCAUCACGAUACGGGAAGUCAAUUUGGCUAGUUAGGAUAUAUAAUUUGGGUUUGUAAGCAGUAAAAUAGGGUAAAUUAGUCUAUUUAUUACAUAUUAUAUAUUAUAGGGAGAGAUCCACUUAACUUUAUACUCGUAUAAAAUUAUACAUUAUUUUAUAUAUUUUUAUACUAUUAUUAAUUUAGCGAUUAAUUGAAUCAUAUUUAUUGAUAUAUAUAAAAAUUUUAUAUAAAAUAAAUAAUUAAAAUAUUUAACUUACAUCAAAUUUAUCGUGCAUAAUUUAUAUAUAUCACCACUAAAUUUUAAUUGACACAAAAGACUAUAUAAGCAAAUAUAUAUAAUAUAUUUAUAUGAAAUUGAUAUAAAAUUUAAAUAAGAGUUUGCUUAAAACGAUAAAUUUUAUCAUGUUUUUUAAAUUUUAUAUAAAAAAACACACGAAGUUAUUUAAUGUCAUUGUUGCUAUAAUUAUAAAUUAUUUAUGAAGGGAUAUGAAAAAAAGCAGAUCCCAUUUCCAUAAAAAGGAACCUUUUCUUUAAUGUACUCAUAAAAUACCCACCUAAUAGCACUGAGUUUCAUACAAGAAUCUAAAAAAUAAAAUUUAGAAAUUUAAAUAGAAAAUAUACAAGCAAUAAAAAUGUGCAAAGCUUUUUAUGAAAUUAAAUCAAAUUAAACAUGCAAAAGCUUCAAAUUCAUGGGAAAAUGAACAUCAAUGGAAAAAAAAAGAAGAAAAAAGAGGACCCUGAAUUGGGAAUUAAAAUAAAACCCAAAAGGGGGGGGGAUUAGGUCAAAUUAAAAAAAAAAAGAUGAACAAAGACUGUUAAAACAAGAACAAGAAGCUGAAAACAUUGAUUUCAACAAAGAAAAGAAAGCGAGAUUCUUAAUCUUUGCAAAAUAUAUAUAAACGAAAAUAAUUAUAUAUUAUAUAAUAAAUCUAUUUAUAUACGAACCUUGAAAAAUCUGGAGCAUUAUAUUUCUGAGGAAGGAGACACGAGAUUCAAAGACGGAAGACGAGGGAUUGAUUCCCGAGGAACAGGACCGCCGAUUAAAUCGUAUCUCAAAAAAAAAAUCUAAAUUAUGAGAGAGAGUUCUUAGACCGAGAGAAUAUUGUAGAUUUGAUUGUCACGGUGUGUGUAUACUGUAGAUAUCCCUGAUUUUGUUUUUAAAUUAUUUAAAAUUUCCUUUAUUUAGUGCGGGAAAUGUGAUUGCUUUUUGGUUAAAUUCUUUUAUUAGUCCCUUUAAUUUGCAGAAGCUCUAGAUUUUGUCUACAUUUUUAUUUGAUCAAUUUCAAUCCAUCUACUUUCCAAAUUAGUCCAUUUUAGUCCCUAUACUUUUUGAAUUCAUUAUAGAUUUAAUUUAUAUCCUCCAAUCGUAUCAUUCCAAAGAUCUGUUCUUCGUUGCAGUGGAAAAGUACUUUUAAGCUAAAAAAGUAUUUUUUUCAACACAAAAGCAAUGAAGAACACUUGGCUUUCGGAGUUAAAAGUGCAGUAAAAAAUUACUUUUUCACCCAAACGCAAAAAUUGAAAUUUAGGUACUUUUAAUUUUUGCGUUUGAAAGUGAAAAUAAUCGAAAUACCCUUAUUCAUAUUAACUAUUUAAAAUAAAUAUUUUGAAACCAAUUAUUAUAUAAAGGGUAAACUACACCCAUAGUCACUUUAAAAUAGAGUCUAUCCUAUUUUGGUCACUCUAAAUAAGAUAAUUGUACAAAUUAGUCACUGCGAUUAAAAUUUUCAUUUUUUUAACAUAUUACUAAUGUAACACAUUACCCAUUAAAUUACUAACACCAUAAAAAAUUAUAAAAAAUUCAACCCAAUUCAAUAAUUUUAUUUGCCCAUAUCAUUCGUAUUGGUUGCUUAUGGGCCCAUGAGCUUAGAUGGUUAUUUUUGUGUAUAGAGAUGAGCCAGAAUAAAUUAAAAACAUUUUGGGAGUGAAGUUAGAAAUUUUGUGUUUAAAAUAAUUUAAAUUGAAUAGUUAAUUUUGUAGAGGCUUGAAAUUAAAUAAAGUUCCAUUAACUUAAGACUAAAAAAAUUAAAUUUAACUGUUAAAUAUUAAGAAUUUCAUCAUUUAAAUACGGGAAACAAGACUCCUUCGUAAAUUUCGAUUAAGAUUAAUUUAAUCUAUCAGAUCAAUAAAAUUGAUAACAAUCCCAUGUUAAUUAGUUAAUAAUUAGGCCAUGACUGUAUGAAACCAGGGUCACGACUUUCUAUCAUAUGACAUCAUUUUUUAAAAGAAAAAAUCGUGAUAAUAAAUCUUCACCUUUAAAACGAAUAAUACCUCAUUAUAAAUAUAGCCAAACUAAAAAGGAGAAAUGUAUAAUUAAAAUUUAAAUUAAGAUUUUAAUUUAUUGGAUUGACUUAUUCAAUUACGUCCUUAAUAACGUACCCAAAAUCCAAGCCAGAAGACUUGAUUUUAAGUAUACCCAGACCAGACCAAAGACAAGACCGAGUAAUAAAAAGAAAGAAGAAGACAUUUAUUAGAAUGAAGACAUAUUCAAGUCCAACAACAACACUUUAAAAACGUUAAAUUAAGUCAAUUAAACCAAUUUCCUAUUUAUUAAAAUGGUUUAAUUCAACGUUGAACCAUUCAAAAAUAGAAAUUAAAAAAAAAAGACAAUAUAGCACAUAAUUAAAUUAAUAAUGUUGAUUUUGAGUCCAUUAAAAUGUGAAAUUCAACAAAUAUGGGUUUUUUUUUUUGGGGGGGGUGUUUUAAGGUUAUAUGAAAUAGCUUUGGUACUUGCUAUGAAACUACAAAAGUUUGGUCCAACUCUAAGUCCCCCCAAAAAAGGAAAAUAAUAAUAACAAUAAAGAAAAGGUCUAAUUAUGAAUUGUACCCUCUACUUUACAAAAAAUUAAAAUUUAGUCCAUUUAUUUUAAUUUGUUAUAUUUUAUUCUUCAUUGAAAGUUGAAAAAUUAGUCUAAUUGAGUAACAAUUUUUCUUUUUUUGAAAAUGAGUAGCACUGUUAAACCUUGAUAUUAUAUCUAUGAUUUAAAAAUCAACAGUUCAGCAAUUAUAUGCAGAAAAUAGGAAAAGAAAAUAGCAAUUUUGCAAUUUAUAUAUGACAAAUUAGCAAAAGCUAGCAAUUUAAAUUCAUGUGUUUAGCAAUAAAAUAGAUUAAUUUCUCUAAAGUAUAAGAUAAAAAACAAAUUAAAGUGAAAGGACUUGUAACAAAAAAAAAGAGCGAAAAGAUUACCUUCUUGAUUUUCGUAAAGUACAAGGACUAAAUUCAUAAUUAGACCUAAAAUUGUUAUCAUAAAAGUUGUCUAAACCUUCAUUUACAGUCUUCAAUGUGCCGAAGCUUACAAGACUCAUUCCAAUGUAUAUAUAUAUAGAGAGAGAGAGAGAGAGUAGCCAAGAAAGGAAGGAAACAUGCCUAGGGAUAAAGAGAUUGAUAAGCCAAUGAAACCGCUUCGAAGAAGACGAAAGAAAGGUGACGGUGGUGGUGCCAGUGGCGGCGGCGACCGCGGUGGCAAUAAGGAAGUUGCAUUUUGUUUAUUUAUUUUAAUUGUGAUUUUGUUUGCUAUAAUUUUGUUCUUCUUUAUUCAUCUUUUGAUGAGUUUUGAAAUAAUUUAGAGACACUUAAACGAUGGAUCUACCACCAGUUUUGAAAUAGGAUUGGAAGUAUAAUUAUUUGUGGGCUGUUUGUACCAUACCAUCCUAGUAUUUUUCUUCAUCGUAUUCGUGACACAUAAAUAGAAGGAUUAGUUAGUGUUUGAUGUUUUCAAAUUAUUAUCGAAACUUUAUUAUUAAUGAGUUUAUGUUUUGAUUAUUUAAUUUUAAAAAGUUACAAUAUGACUAUUGAGUUAUUCAAAAGUUUCUAUUUAAGUCAUUGGGUUGUUAAAGUUGUUGUAUGGCCUUCUUUGUUCUUACUACCUGUACAAUCGAAAUCUCUCAUUCCUUUUCUAUUUUACGAUUAAAUAUUUUCAUUAAAUAGAUUUUAAUGUCACGAAUUCGUGAACAAAAAAUCCAAACAACUUUCUUCUUCGAUAUCUAACACUGACCGUCAGAUCGACUUGGAUCUAAAGUAUGUUAUUCUACUCAUCGAUGGGUACUGAUCCACCAUACUGAUCGCCAAAUAGUUGCUUAAAGCUCACUAGUCGAACUUUCAAAAAGAAAAUAGGCCAGUGACUUAAAUAAAAAAUUCAAAUAGUUCAAUGACUUAAAUGUUUUUGAAUAGUUCAGUGACCAUUUUGUAACUUUUUGAAGUUGAGUGAUCAAACCGUAAACUUACUAAUAAAUUAAUGACUUCAAGUGUAAUUUAAUAUUUCAAUGCUUUCAUGUUGGUCUCCCUAAUUGAUAACUACUUUUAUUUCUUUUUUCAUGCUUUAUCGGUUAAUCUCUAUAAAAUUAGGAUUGUGACUUUUCUUAUGAUAGAAUAAGAUUUUUAUGCAAUAUUUAGUUUUUUUUUUCUUUAUGGAAUUGAUUUUGGAAUUAUUGAUUUUAUAUAAGAUUCCCAACAUCGCGAGUGGGUAAUAAGUUUUAAAAGAUGGUUAAUACAAAUCCUUGAAGUAAUUAAGAUUGAUUAAUACAAACCUUUGAAAAAAUUAGGGUUGAUUAGAAAUUUAGCAUUUUUACUUAGAAAUUGUUAUUGCUGGUGUGGUUAUUGUGAAUAUUGUGUUUGAAAAAUUAAUAUAUUGCAUUAUUAUGAUACCAAAAAGCACUUAAAUGAUGUUUAUUUUUAUAAAAGAAAAAUACUAGCAGUAUGUUGUAGACCUGUCCAUGGGCCGGGCUGGGCCCAAAAAAAUUCGGCCCGACUCUUAGGCCCGGGCCUGGCCUGAAAUAUGGGCCUAAAAUUUUGUCCAGGCCCGGCCCGGCCCGGCCCGAUUUUUACUAAACACAAAAAAUAUUUUAAAAAUAAAAAAUAAAAAAAUAUUUUUUUUAUAUUCGGGCCGAGCCGGACCGGGCUCGGGCAAAAAAAGUUGAGCCCAAGCCCGGCCCAUUUUUUAAACGGGCCUCGUUUUUUUGCCCAAGCCCAUAUUUCGGGCCUAUAUUUUUACCCGAACCCUCCCGUAUUUCGAGCGGGUCCGGCCCAUGGACAGGUCUAGUAUGUUGUCUUCAUGAAAACUUUUAUGUCUUUAAAGGCUUAGAUAUAUUUGGUUUAAAUAUUUAACGGGAAUGGACAAAUAUUUUAAAAAGAAGUCUAUUAGUGAAGUAGAGGAAGAACAACAAGAAAUAUAUAUCAUAUAUUAGUUUAUAUGACUUUUAUAAAUGUUUUAAUUAAAAAAAAUUGACCGUACAAUCCAAAUAUCCUAACUAAACCAUUGCACGCGUAUACAUGCGAAAACCAUAAAAUAUAGAAUACAAAUGUGUGUUUAAAAAUAACCUACGAUAAACAAUGAAUCGUAUGGAGAUAAACAAUAUUAAAUGCAUUACAAUUAUUUAUCACAGUUUUGCCAUCAACUGUGAGUUAGUUUCAAGUUGACUUACGACACCAACUCCAUUAACUAUAUUAUUAAUAUAUACAAUUGAUGGAGAUAAUGAAUUGUGCAUAUUACAAUAAAAAUGUAUAAAAUAUAUUAAGAUAAAAUUUUGGCUGAGUAAUAAAUUUAAAGUUUUAUGAAUCAAAUUGACAUGGUUCAUAUAUCAUGAUAUGCAUAUUUUUUAUCGGUUGUUAUUAAAAUAAAAAAGGUUAAAAUACCGUUGAAUAAUAUAAUUUAUUUUAAUUACAAAAUGAUAUUUUCAUAAUUUUCUUGACCGAGUUGAUACUCAAUUGACUUGUAACACAAUCUAGUCAGGAAUUUAAAUAAUAGUAUAAAUAAUAAUUGUGUUAAUGAUCCCUUCUGUACCAAGUUUCAACAGCAAAGGAAUCGUCCAACCAUGGAUACGCUUGCUCAAUCUAUCAACAAUUUUAAUAAUUGUUAUAAAAUGUGGGUUUUUAAUAUAUUUUUUUCAAUUGAAUUAAUGUUGAAUGACUUGCUUAAUUAAAUAUUUAAAUAAUUUGUUUUUAAACAAUAAGACUUAUAAACAAUGGGACUACAAAUUUCUAAAUGGUUAAAAUAUGUACUAAGCCUCUAUACUUUUUAUAGACGUAGAAUUUUGACCUUUUAUGUUUAUUUAUAAUAAUUUAUUUACUCUAUUUUUUAUAUUUCAAAAAUUAGUAAACUUGAUUUUAAUAAAAAAAUUAAUGAUUUUAGUAAUUUAAUUUCUUAAAAUAAAAAUAAAAUCAACCCAAAGCCUAUUUUACAGCACAAAUAGUGAGAAACGUGACCCUGACCGGGACCGGGACCCGGACCCGGACCCGAUACCUACUUUAUAGCAAAUAGCAUUUCCAUAUCUCUCGUUUCUUCUGUGCAUAUACCUCACUGCCCCUAAAAUUUAAUCGAGGAGAUCUCGUUGUUCUUUAGCUCCGUUUUGCAGCCAUGGCUACUCUAGAUUCCGAUGUGCCGAUGGUGCCCGCCGGUGAAGCUUCCGGUAGCUCCGCCGCGUCUUCCUCUACUAAGAAGCCCAAGCGCUUCGAGAUCAAGAAGUGGAGCGCCGUUGCCCUCUGGGCCUGGGGUACUAAUCCCUAACCCUAACCUAACUUACUUUCUCCAUUCAGUUUUAUGUCGAAAUCAGUGUUUUUAUUGACGUUGAUUUGGUUGAUGGGAUGCAGAUAUUGUGGUGGAUAAUUGUGCAAUUUGCAGGAAUCACAUUAUGGAUCUCUGUGUGUAUUUCUACCUCGAUUUUAUUCAAGUUUUUGUUAAUUUGAUUUAGGGGGUUUUUUUAGGGUUACUGUUUCUGAUUGUUUUCUUCAAUUUCGUUGUUUAGGUAUCGAGUGCCAAGCUAACCAAGCCAGCGCCACCAGUGAGGAAUGCACUGUUGCUUGGGGUAUGUUCGAUUUUGGAAUUGUUGAAAAGCAUGUUUGGGUUACUAAAGAAGUACUAUUAAAGGAUAUUGUAGAUGUUGUUUUGGAUUGUGUAAGCAUUGGUUACUUUGGGGAAUAGUGUUAGGUUGUUAGGUUUCGAUGUUCUUUAUACCAAACACAAGGAAAUCAAUCAAGCACUAUUAAGACAUACAAUAGACGUCUUUCCGUUUGUGUAACCCUUGUUGACUUUGGGAGGUAGUGCUAGGUUGUUUGGUUUCACUUUACUGUACCAAACACAAGGUUUGGGAUUCGUUGUCUAUUUGGUAAAGUGGAGGCUAUUCGGGUGUAAAAGAGAAUAAGUUAGAACCUUUUGUACAAAUUAUGGUGAACCUAUAAUUAUAGCCGUAAAUAUGCUAAUGUUGAAUCAAUUAAGCACUAUUAAAACAUGUAGUAGACAAGUUUUCAAUUGUGUAAGCCAUGUUUACUUUCGGAAGUAGUGGUAAGUUGUUUGGUUUCGCUGUACAUUAUACCAAACAGAAGGUUUGAGAUUUGUUGCCAAUUUCAUUAAAUGGGAGUGUUGUCAGGUUGUAAAAGAUAACAAAUUAGAAACUUUUGAAGAAAGAUGAUGACACUUUUUGUAUUUGAUUAAGAACAUACCCUGUUAUCAUAGCUUUUAGUAUGAUAAUCGUGAUGAUUUUUUUUUCUUGUGAUAUCGAUAAUGGUGAUGAAUCAAUUAUGUAAAUGAGGGCUAUUAAAUCUUUAUGACUAAUGCUUUGCUUUUGUUAUAAUUAACGCCUAGUAUCAUUCAGAUACGUUAUUUUGUAGAUAUACUUGAGCAAGUUGACUCGUUAGGUGGUUUGCUUAAUUGCAUUUGCUGAUUGUGCACGUUUAGUGCAAUUUUAGUUUUUUUUUCACGUAAAAGCUUUUUCAUUUUGGCCGAAAUUGAAUUUGUUGCCCUUCCUUUGGUGGGUUUAUAUAGUUAGCCAAAAUGGUUAAUCUCAAUGUAAAUAAAAUCCCCCGAUUAGAGUAAGUAAAGUGUUGAAGAAAUUAGUAGGCUCAUCUUUACCUACAAAUAUGUAUAUAUCGGAAGAAAAAUGCCUUGAGCUCAUCUAUUAUAUGUUUUUACUAUAAUCUAUGAGUUGUAUGUAUCAUCUCACUUUAGCUCCAACAUGCUUGAUCAUUGUGUAAUUGAUUUUUCUCUUCUUUGUGUAUGUAGGGGUCUGCAACCAUGCAUUUCACUUCCAUUGUAUCAGCCGAUGGCUCAAGACUCGUCAAGUUUGCCCAUUGGGUAUGCUUUUUUCCUCCCGAUGUAUACAUCGCUCGGAUAUUUUUCCCCGCAAUCAGCAUUAACACCUAAGUUGGUCUUCGCUUUUGCAGAUAACAGUGAGUGGGAGUUCCAAAAGUAUGGGCACUAGAGAGCUUUCAGGCCAAUACUGGUUGAACCCUCUUACCUUUCUGGUAUGGUGAGAGAAGAAUGCAUAUAUUUCAUUAGCUUUUAUGCUGAUUCAAACAGUAGUUGCUUUAAUAUUUCAGAGUAGAAUUUGGUCAUAAUUUUAUUUGCACCGAGUGUAAUAUGCUAUAUUUUAUGAGAAUUAUCCUUUAUUAUUGUGCUGAAACCUUCCUUGUUCUAUCUCUGGAUUUUGGUACUGAUGAAUGUCUUCUUCUUCUUUUUUUCAUGUGAAUCAAAUGGCUCCUUUUAAAGCUUUGUUAAAUUCAAAAUCAGAAUUAGAUUAAUGUCUCUAAAGAAAGGAUAAUAUUAUUUAACAAAAUUAAGGGAAAAUUUUGACUUUAUAAUAGAAAGUUAAUAUUUCAAAAAAAAUAAAAAGAUUGAUACUAAUCAAAUUAUAAAAAAAGAAUUAAAUCAGUAAAAAAUGCGUAGUAUAAAACUUUCUACAAUGUCUAUGGGAAUAUUAGAAUUAAAGGUGAUUAUGAAUUGAAUUAGACCUAUACCAUUAAUGGUAUAAUAUUAUGUAUGUAUAGUUGCUUAACGUGAGUCUUGAAAUUUAGUCAUGUAGGUUAAAAUAUGUUUUUAUUUUUAGGAAUUUAGUUUUUUUUAAAAUUUUUCUGAUAUUAAAUUUUAGAUCUAACUUUUAAUAGUGCUAAAUUUAUUUUGUUAAAUUUAAGUUAAUUGCGUCAUUUUUUAGUUACAUGGCUAUCAAGUGUUGCAAAUUUUAAUUAAAUUUUUUUAAAUUUUGGGAAUAAAAGUAUAAUGAUUAAAUUUGAAAUUUGGGAAGAAUACAGGGACUUAUGACAUAUUUUAACUUAUUUUGUAAAUAGUCAAUGCAGUCUCGCGUUUGGACUCAGGUUUUAAAUAUAAAAGUUUGAGUUCGAACCUAUAUUUAAAUCGGAACUAUUUUUCUCCAAAAUUUGAUUUUUUGAAAAACUAAUGAAAGCUUGCGAGGCACAUGUCGCCCUUUGCAAUGCUUCUCUUCUUAGUUUGUGGUGUCAAAUGGUGACGAAUUGGUGGAGAUUUUAGACCUCUUUGAAUGCUGGUUUGAAGUUUCUACCCCGCUUUGGCACAUCCAAGAAUGAUGUUGAUCAAUUUUUUGUCACUGUCCAACAGCCUCUAAGAAAAAAUAUUGUGAGACUUAAGGAACAAACAAAUGACCUAGAGGAUAAGAAUUCUAACUGGUAGCAAACAUAAAAUUUGGAAACGAGCCGGUUGAGUUUUAGUUCGACUGGCAUGAGUAUUGUUGUCAAUGCAGGAAGACGUAAAUUUUCGAAUGCGCUGAAACGUAUUAUCCUUCCACUUAUGGGUUGAGAAAGAGUUAUGAUUAACCGUUAUAAUUUUAAUAUUUUUAUCCAAAAUGUUCUAAGGAGUUAAAAGUGAAUAGAAACAAAAAUGAAAGAAAGCAGGAAAUAGAGGUGGGAAUAAAGGGGGCAAAAAACGUGAAAUUGAAAGGCAGACCAUCUUUUUCAACUACCAAUGCUUUUUGUCGGGCUUUAGGCAUUAAAAAAGGCAUCUCUCCAUCCAUGUGCAUCUUCUCAGACCUCUAAAUUCUUCUACCCCCAAAUGCCAAAGUGUUGUUUUAAUUUCAAGAAUUUUCAAAUCCAUUAAAAUAUUUGAAUUUUGUUAUACAUGAUUUUCUCUUUGCUCUUUGUAGAUCUAGAAUUUAAUGUUUAUAUUUUUAUUUUUUUUAAAAUUUUUUUUAUUUUUUAGAUUUUAAAAUUUAGAAUCAACUAUUAACACCAUUAAAUUUAUUAGUGUUACAUUUUGAAAUUAAAAAAAAAAUCACUUGGUAGUCAUGUAACUAAAAAAGAAACGUUAUAAUGAACUUAUUUUUAACCAUUGAACUUAAAUUUUAAAUCUGAAAAACAGAGAGAUUAAAUUUCAAAAAAUAGAUAUAUAAAAAUUAAAUUCUAGAAAUAGAAGUGCAAAGUUGACAACAUAUAUUUUAAUCAUAUAUGUAUAAACCCCCUCCAUCUUCUAGAAUACCCAAAACUACCGCUACACCAUCGAAAGUCGGCCAAAAUCGUUACAAACAAUUCUCAAUACUCUAAUAUCUGUAAAAGUAGAUUGGAAUUAAAGAUUAUAUCCAAAUAUAUCAUUCAAAUUGUGUCCCAACCCACACUCAUGGCUGGAUACCAUUAUGUUUUUACUUAUUAUCAUUAUAAUCACACUUUUAAGCCUAGUGCUCACUUUUCCCCCAUAAAUUAUGAACUAAAGUAUUGCUUAACUCUGCACUUCUUUUAAAACUCAUUUCUCCUUCAAAUGCAAUCCAUUUAUCUUCCAUCUUCAGUGUUGUCUCUCUCAUCAGUCAUCUCUUGCUUCGUACAAGUUUAAUUUUAUGUUGUAGUUGAUGUAAGGGUAAUAAGAGGUGAUCCCCUAUCGAAUGAAGAAUUUUCAUAUAAGUCCUGAUAAAAUUGUAUUUUUUUUAUUCAUUUCUAGUUCCUAAAAUAAUUUUUUCAUUAUGCGUAAUGGUAAAAUUAUAAGCAAAAUAAGGAGGUGCCAUUUUUAAUGAUUGAGAGUGAUGAUAGGAGGUUUUUUUGGCACAUGGUGCGCUAAGAAAAUGGCAGUGGGACCCAGAUGAUAACAGUUAAAGUUGUUAAGCUAAAUUUUGUUAUUAGUCUCGACUCUCGUAUUAUGUGUAAAUUGUGACUUUAGUCUCCAUAAUCUAAAUUUGAUAGUUUUUAGUCUAUAAUUUUCAAAUUUUGAAAUUUAAGUCAUUUAAAUGGAUUAACAAUAAUGUGACUUUUUAUAUAUGAAAAUAACAAGUUAAAAUGAUAUUAUACAUGUACUAAUAUAUUUAUCGCAUAAGAUUUUAAAAAGAACAAAUUUAACGUCUCCCAUUAAAGGCUAGUUAGAAUUAAAAUUUCAAAAUUUGAACGAAUUUAGUAUAGAAAAUUAAAAUCCAAGGACUAAUACAAGAAUUUGACAUAUUUUACUCUAAAAAAUUACAUAUAGCGGAAGCUUAACACGAUGGCAUUAUGGUAAAUAAGGGAAAAGAUUAAGGCCAAACAGAAAUAUGAGUGCGUUAUAUAUCCGGCGCAAAAGAGUCAAACGUACACUUUCACUGUAAUCAACAGCCAUGGCCGCCAUGGCUUCUUCUUCUUCUUCUAAUUUCUUCUUCAUCUUCUUCCUCGUGUUAUGUCUGAAAAUCACUGCCAAAAAAACGUACAUUGUCCAAAUGAAACAUCAAGAUAAGCCACUUUCUUUCGAAACCCACCAUGAUUGGCACAGUUCGAGUUUACAAUCACUCACCGAUUCCCCACCCGAGUCACUUCUUUAUUCAUAUACUGAAGCUUUUAAUGGCUUCGCUGCUUCUCUUAAUGAAGAACAAGCUGAGUCUCUUAGCAAAUCGGAAUCGAUUCUGGGUGUUUAUGAAGAUACAGUUUACACUCUCCAUACUACUCGUUCACCUCAAUUCCUCGGCCUUGACGCCGAUUUGGGGCUUUGGGCCACCGGCGGUAGUACCCAGGCUUCUGAGGAUGUUAUUAUCGGGGUUCUUGAUACCGGAGUUUGGCCGGAAUCUAAGAGUUUUGACGAUUCGGGCAUGCCGGAGAUUCCUUCUAAGUGGCGGGGUGAAUGUGAGUCGGGUCCUGAUUUUGGUCCUAAGUUUUGUAACAAGAAACUCAUCGGUGCUCGGAGCUUUUCGAAAGGUUACCGUAUGGCCAUCGGCGGUGGGAUUAAUAAAAAACCCAAAGAGAUCGAUUCCCCGCGUGAUAAAGAUGGUCAUGGGACUCACACGGCCAGCACCGCCGCAGGCUCUCACGUGGCUAACGCUAGCCUUUUAGGGUACGCCAGUGGGAUUGCUCGUGGGAUGGCGACUCGAGCCCGGGUCGCCGCUUAUAAGGUUUGUUGGGAAACGGGUUGUUUUGGGUCCGAUAUCCUCGCCGGGAUGGAUCGGGCUAUCCGAGAUGGCGUUGAUGUGCUUUCGGUGUCCCUCGGUGGUAGACUGGCGCCAUAUUACCGCGAUACGGUCGCCCUCGGAGCCUUCGCGGCGGUGGAGAAGGGUAUUUUCGUCUCUUGCUCCGCGGGCAAUAGUGGGCCGACAAGAGCCACCCUUGCUAACGUGGCACCUUGGAUUAUGACCGUCGGCGCUGGGACUUUGGAUCGAGAUUUUCCGGCUUAUGCCGUUUUAGGAAACAAAGUCCGUUAUAAUGGCGUCUCGCUUUACAGCGGUCGAGGAAUAGGGAAAAAACCGGUCGGUUUGGUUUACAACAAAGAUAACAACACUUUUGGUAAUUUAUGUCUGCCCGGUUCGCUUAAACCGGCUUCAGUUCGUGGAAAAAUAGUCGUUUGUGAUAGAGGAACAAAUGCUCGUGUGGAAAAAGGAGGAGUUGUACGCGAUGCUGGAGGGGUCGGAAUGAUAUUAGCGAAUACGGCGGAUAGUGGCGAGGAAUUGGUGGCUGAUAGUCACUUGCUACCGGCCGUAGCAGUAGGGAGGAAAACCGGUGACUUGAUUAGGAAAUACGCACAAUCUAAUCCUAACCCGACCGCCAAGCUCGUUUUCGGUGGGACCGUCUUGAAUGUCCGACCUUCACCAGUGGUCGCAGCAUUUAGCUCCCGAGGGCCCAAUAUGGUGACACCGCAGAUCUUGAAGCCGGACGUGAUUGGGCCAGGAGUCAACAUAUUAGCCGCUUGGUCUGAGGCUAUCGGUCCGACCGGGUUGGUUAAGGACACGAGGAAGACUAAGUUCAACAUUGUGUCAGGUAUGUUGAGACUCUUAUUUGCCUAAAUUGUAUAAUCAUAUUCCUAUUAAUCAUGUUUCGAAAACUACAGGUACAUCGAUGUCGUGCCCACACAUUAGCGGGCUAGCAGCAUUGCUAAAGGCAGCUCAUCCAGAUUGGAGCCCAAGCGCAAUCAAAUCGGCUCUAGUGACCACUGCCUACACUCGAGACAACACCAACUCAUCUCUCCGGGAUGCAGCGGACGGUUCAUUAUCGAAUCCAUGGGUUCACGGGGCAGGUCACGUCGACCCUCAAAAAGCCCUUUCUCCGGGACUAAUAUACGAUAUAACUACGAAACAGUACAUAUCCUUCUUAUGCUCACUAGGCUACACCAUUGAUCAAGUUAAAACCAUUGUCAAGCGUCCUAACAUUACAUGUUCCAAGAGAUUCAAAGACCCUGGUGAACUCAAUUACCCAUCAUUUUCGGUCCUGUUUGGGGACAAAAGGGUUGUUUGGUACACUCGGGAAUUAACAAACGUCGGCCCCGCACGGUCGAUAUACAAAGUGGCGGUGGAUGGUCCGUCAUCUGUCGGGAUCUCAGUUAGGCCCCGGACGCUCGUCUUUAGGCAUAUUGGGGAAAAGAAGAGAUAUUCAGUGAGUUUUGUAGCUAAAAGGACGAGAAGAGGAUCAACGGCUAGGUCUGAAUAUGGUUCAAUAGUGUGGGGCAAUGCUCAACAUCAAGUGAAGAGCCCAGUUACUUUCUCAUGGACAUUUUUGUAAACACUUGGAGAAUGUCAAAUCAUUAAUGAAAAAUCUAAGGUCAAAUUCUGAUUUUAAGCCCUCUAUUAUAUUCUGUUUGCUGAUUUAAUCCCUAUACUUUUAAAUUGACAAAGUUUGAUCACUAAUCAGGCUCAAACAUGAAAGGUUUUUGCAACAGUUGUGUACAAGUUCAAGUAUAUGAGCAUUGUAAUGCCCAAUUAUUUGCCCGGCCCAUUUGAAUAAAUAAAACCAAUAUAAAAACCAAAUACUAAAGCCCAAAUAUAAAAUAAAACAAUAAAUAGUCCAUUUUUACAUUAUGUGGCCCAAUUUCACCAGCCCAAUUACACUAAAACCCAAAUCUGCCCAAAACUGAAAAAUCAGAAAACCCUAGAAUCUUCAGUUGCUGCCUCCAGCUUCCCACGAGCGUCGCCCCCUCCGCACGAACGUUGCAGCACGUUGCCCUCGCACAACCCACGUUCUCCUCCAGUGCACCUGUAACAAAUCACGAACAGCAUUAGAGUAAACAAAGAAAAUAGCAAAAAUAUAAAGGAAAAACAAAAUAAAUUCUGUAAUAUUCGGCUAUAGUAGCAUUUUGCAAGGGAGGAUUGUAACGAAAAAUAUUAAAAAAUAAGAAAAACAGAAAAUCAAAAAGGUAUAUUGAAGGUGAUUUUCUUCUACGAUUGCGCUUUCCGUUCUUGAAUCUUUUUUUUAUUAAUCGUGCAUAUAAAAAAAGAAAAAGAACCGUGGAGAGGCGAUUACCUGGUGGUCGGAGGCCUUGGAAUGGCCUGGCUGCUGGCGGCGGCUUAAGAAAUUUUUUUGAGAACCCUAGCAGAGAAGGCUAGGGUUAAUUUGUGUUUUUUUUUUUGGAAGAUAACAGAAACUAAU